AGAAUAUUUUGUUGAAACAACAAUGUUUAUAUAUUUUCUGCAAUAUUUUCAACCCAAGUAUUUUGCGAUAAUAUUUCGGUCGCUCUGAUUGGAUACAGAGGACAGAAAAUAACCAAUGGGAUGUUUGAUUUUGUUAACCAAUGAGUGAGCCACUUUGAUGGAUUUUUAACCAAUGGUCUUACGAGUUUCUCGUUCUCAACCAACCGGUUUUAGAAUUCGGUUAGUUGACGUCAUGAGAAAGUAUAAAAAUUGAUUCAUCACCGUUUUCCAUUAAUCGCGUUGUGUGUCUCAAAGAAGAGGAGUACGGUCUGCUGGUCUACCUGUUAAAGUUUUGGAAUAAUCCAACAGUUACCAUACCUGAGAAAUGGCUCGUACCAAGCAGACCGCCCGUAAGUCCACCGGAGGAAAGGCGCCAAGGAAGCAGCUCGCCACAAAGGCGGCCAGGAAAAGUGCGCCAUCCACCGGAGGAGUGAAGAAGCCCCAUCGUUACAGGCCAGGAACAGUGGCUCUGAGGGAGAUCCGUCGUUACCAGAAGUCUACUGAGCUGCUGAUCCGCAAGCUGCCCUUCCAGCGCCUGGUGAGAGAAAUCGCCCAGGACUUCAAGACGGACCUGCGUUUCCAGAGUGCUGCCAUUGGCGCCCUUCAGGAGGCCAGCGAAGCAUACCUGGUGGGUCUGUUUGAGGAUACCAACCUGUGCGCCAUCCACGCCAAGCGUGUCACCAUCAUGCCCAAAGACAUCCAGCUGGCCCGCAGGAUAAGGGGAGAGAGAGCCUAAAUGGUACUCGACCUCCUGCUCGAGACACACAAUCCUAUUUAUCCCACUUAACCAUUUUGUGAAUUUUUUUUAAUGUUAUUUCUUGGGUUUUUCCUUUUGUAAUGUAUUUUAGAAUGAGGUAACGAUCAGAUAUGGUUAGUGUGCAGAUAGGAUGAUCAGCUUGCCUUCAAUUGCAAAUGAGGCUUGUUUUUAUCUUAGAGGAUAGAAAGUGUUACAUGACUGUCACCGUGUUGACUUCAGUCAGGUGGCCUCUUCACAUGUUAACUGGGUCAUUUAGGGUGACAGUAAUACAUACUCUAGAUGACAGCGCCUUUGUGGUUGGGGGGGUGGGUUUAUGAGGUAAAAGAACGAGUCAGCUCUGUCAGCUUCCGGGGUGGUGUGUCAGGGUCUCAUCUAUUUCCACCCUUUGUCUCAGCAGUCUGCCAGCAUGUCUUGCACAACAGUUCACUCCUAGCACUCCAUAAUGGUGUCAGGGGGAUUGUCUAUGCACAGUUACUCCUCCUGACACUGUCAGGGAUGGCCAGGAGCAUGACCAAGACUCUGUAUAUUCUGGACUGUUUUUUACAAUGUUAUUUUUCAAACAUGCAACAAACCUUGGCAGCUACAUUUAAUAUUUAUGAUUGUCACAUUGUCUUUCUAUUAAAUGUCUUUACAAGUAAAUGCUUGUUUGGUUUUCAUUAUCCACUAGGUGCUUUAACAAUGAAGUCCUUUAGUUACUUCAUGUUAAUUCUAUUAUAGCAAUACUUGGAAGACACAUUGCUGUUCUGUGGGUUGACAUCAAUAUAGGAAGUUAGGUUCUAAACAUUUAAACUUCAUGCAUCGAGUUGUUUGUCAUAUGAACCACUGAGCUUAAAAUGUAGAGGGGGGAACCAGGCUUCAAGUGUGCCUAAAAUUACAUUUUCUUGACCUCAAUGCACCAGGAACUAAAAAUACCAUAGAUAUGAAAUGGUCAUUGUGUGCAACAAUGCAGUUUGACUUCAUGCUAGCUCUGAGCACCACAUUGCAGAAUCCUG
rnacentral:lncRNA from 1 species